AGUCGAACGAUGAAGCCCAGCUUGCUGGGUGGAUUAGUGGCGAACGGGUGAGUAACACGUGAGUAACCUGCCCUUAACUCUGGGAUAAGCCUGGGAAACUGGGUCUAAUACCGGAUAGGAGCGCCUACCGCAUGGUGGGUGUUGGAAAGAUUUAUCGGUUUUGGAUGGACUCGCGGCCUAUCAGCUUGUUGGUGAGGUAAUGGCUCACCAAGGCGACGACGGGUAGCCGGCCUGAGAGGGUGACCGGCCACACUGGGACUGAGACACGGCCCAGACUCCUACGGGAGGCAGCAGUGGGGAAUAUUGCACAAUGGGCGCAAGCCUGAUGCAGCGACGCCGCGUGAGGGAUGACGGCCUUCGGGUUGUAAACCUCUUUCAGUAGGGAAGAAGCGAAAGUGACGGUACCUGCAGAAGAAGCACCGGCUAACUACGUGCCAGCAGCCGCGGUAAUACGUAGGGUGCGAGCGUUAUCCGGAAUUAUUGGGCGUAAAGAGCUCGUAGGCGGUUUGUCGCGUCUGUCGUGAAAGUCCGGGGCUUAACCCCGGAUCUGCGGUGGGUACGGGCAGACUAGAGUGCAGUAGGGGAGACUGGAAUUCCUGGUGUAGCGGUGGAAUGCGCAGAUAUCAGGAGGAACACCGAUGGCGAAGGCAGGUCUCUGGGCUGUAACUGACGCUGAGGAGCGAAAGCAUGGGGAGCGAACAGGAUUAGAUACCCUGGUAGUCCAUGCCGUAAACGUUGGGCACUAGGUGUGGGGACCAUUCCACGGUUUCCGCGCCGCAGCUAACGCAUUAAGUGCCCCGCCUGGGGAGUACGGCCGCAAGGCUAAAACUCAAAGGAAUUGACGGGGGCCC
rnacentral:rRNA from 1 species